GGAUGCCUGGUCGAAUGUGAAUUUCAGGUUAAAAACAAUACUUUUCAGCAUAAGUACAUCCCAUGCAAUAUUUGGGACAUACUUAUGCUAAAAAAAAUUAUGCAUUGUUUGUUUGAAACUGAAAAUUAA
rnacentral:miRNA from 1 species